rnacentral:lncRNA from 1 species
AAGGAAGAAGUCAGAAACGUGCCCGGACCCUCCAGAAGAAGAGCAUGCCUACGAAGGACUGUCAAGUCGCUGAGACGGAAAGAAAUAACCCGGUCCACAUUGCGAGAUUCCGCACAAGCCUGCCUUAUCGGUUUCAUUGCGUCGCCAUUCACGUUCAAAGAAUACAGGAUUCAAUGUCAAGCAACUCACGAUGCGUUUUCUUGUGAACAGAUUGUCUCACCCACUAGGAAUAUAAUUUUACUUGCAGCUGCUUUCUUUAACAUAAUUUUGAUUAACCCUUACCAGUUGGCUUUACCAGAAACAUCCUCAACUUGCUUUCUCUGUUGAUGUUUGCUUAUGGUCUUCUUGUAUAUAGUAUGAUGUAUAACAAUGUUAUGUGUACUUCAUAAAGCAUAAUUUACUAUUUGCGCAUGUAAACUCAUAUUGAUAAUGGGAGUCGUUUAGAAACAAUAUUCUUACCAUAGAUGUGUGACAUAUCAGAUUUGAAUAAAUAAAUACAUAAAUAAAUAUCGAUAAAUGUAACAUUCUCAUAUUAUAUGGACCACAGUGAGAUUUUUUCUCUAUGUAUACUAUUAAAAUAAGAAUUUUUUGAAAUGCGAAUGAAUAUAUGUACCAUGGAGUAAUUCUCAAAAGCCAUGUAUUUUAUUCCACCCAGUGGUUAUAGUGUGAUAUAGUGUGUUAUUGUGUGAGAAACCAUGAAAGGCAAUGCAUUUCAUAUUGACCAAAGCUUGAUUACAUAAUAUUACCCUUUCGAUAACCAGCCAAUCAAAGUUAGUUGAUUCCAUGAUAAUCCCUAUUCUAAAUUACAUGUAGGGUUCAGAAAUCUGGGGAGGUGAAACAUGAAUCAUAAUGGAAAAUAUUCACCUUGAAUUUAUAAGCAAAUUGUUGCCUAACACGAAGGGUAAUCCACUUUAUAUACUGUAUGCAGAAAUAAAAAGUAAACCACUUUACAUCACUGAUGUGUAAAAUGAUUGCUUUUCCAACAAAACUAAUCACUUGAAAAUCGUCAAACAUAUCCUGUAUUAUUUUACCUGUAUAUAUUAUAUUAAUAUAUUUCCAUGUAUACCAAUGUAUUUAAAUGUAUGCUGAAGACACAUCUUGAAGAUCAGAUUCUAUAAACUUAUUAAUUAUGAAAUUAAAACGGAAUUCUACCUAGAUAAUUUAGCCCCAACAUACUACAUGCCACUAAUACUGUUGGCUGCAUGUCACAGUUGAAAGAGGUCGCUAGACACAAAAUACCAUUAGUUACAUCAGUUCCAUUGUGUUCUUGUAAUGACAUUGCUGAUGAGUAUAAUUACUUCACUUGUGAAAUGUUUGUUACCUGUCACUCAAAUUAUAUUCUGAUGAUACAGGAAAUCCUUCAAUGUUUAAACUGGGAAAAUUAUUUGAAUGCAAAGAUAAACUUACCAUGAAGCAGUUAUCAAUUUUCUGUAAAUAUAUUAUGAAUGUUUUUCAGUGAUUAUAGAACAUGAUGCCGCCAUGUAUGUGAAUAUACAGAUCACUGUUAACCCUCAACGCACCAUGUCUUGUGGGCUUGAGUAACAUAAGGUUCAAUUCGGUUCAGAAGGCAAGAUUGCACUUUUAUUUUCUAAUGUGAACUAAUCGUUUGUAAUAACAUGAUUCAACUUUUUUUAAAGUGAAAUAAGCUGUAGCACGCUUUCUAAUAAACACAUGGAAUUUGA